rnacentral:rRNA from 1 species
CAAUAGCGUAUAUUAAAGUUGUUGCAGUUAAAAAGCUCGUAGUUGGAUUUCUGGGAGGGUGCCGCCGUCCGGCGUGUCCGUGUGCAGUGGCGCCCUUCCAUCCUUCUGUUAGCGUCUCUUGGCAUUCAUUUGCUGGUGGCGGGCUCAGAUAUUUUACCUUGAGAAAAUUAGAGUGUUUCGGGCAGGCUAGGCCGGAAUACAUUAGCAUGGAAUAAUGGAAUAGGACUACGGUCUCUUUGUUGGUUUGAGGGACUGCAGUAAUGAUUAAUAGGGAUAGUUGGGGGCAUUAGUAUUUAAUUGUCAGAGGUGGAAUUCUCAGAUUUGUUAAAGACUAACUUAUGCGAAAGCAUUUGCCAAGGAUGUUUUCAUUAA